UACGUAGGGUGCAAGCGUUGUCCGGAUUUAUUGGGUUUAAAGGGUGCGUAGGCGGCUUUGUAAGUCAGUGGUGAAAUACUCUAGCUUAACUAGAGGGGUGCCAUUGAUACUGCGGAGCUUGAGUACAGAUGAGGUAGGCGGAAUUGACGGUGUAGCGGUGAAAUGCAUAGAUAUCGUCAAGAACACCGAUAGCGAAGGCAGCUUACUGGGCUGUAACUGACGCUGAGGAGCGAAAGCGUGGGGAGCGAAUAGG
rnacentral:rRNA from 1 species